AGCAUGCGCACCAUGAACAGGUCCGAAUGUAGAAGAAAGGUUUCCUGAAGAUGAGCUACAAGAACUCGAAGUUCAGAGCUCGAAGUUUUCGGAUGACUCAGAGUCGGAUUGUGGUCGGGUAUAACAGGGAGAGUUUUCUUUCCUUCUCCCGUCUGCGUGAGAUGUGGGACAUUUGAGAAACUUUGAACUUUACUGUGCUCAUGGACUUCUUCAUCAAGUUAUGAUAUUGCCUGACCUGAAUCGUUGCUCCAGCAUUUUGUGUGUGUUUCUCCGAUUAGACACACCCAGACACCGUGUUCAGUAUCGAUGCCCUCAUUAUCGGAAGGAAAUGGAAGCUUUACAGUGAACGCAGGGGAGAUGUACUGGGACACUGCCUGACACUGGAGGAAGACUGAAACAUCGAGGAGAAUGCAGAAGUUAGCGAGUACUCUCCACAGAGACCAUGGGUCAACAGUGGUUGAUUGCUGGGUUGGCGGCACAGUGUCACUCUUCGCAGGAGGACUGAGUUUGAGCAGCUGUUCUCAAUUCCGGCAGGAGGAUGUUUUCGAAAUUCUGAGAUUGAUGUAUUAUUCGAAUGUAGUUUAUCUUGCUCUCCUUUCUGUGUUUUCUUUCUUAUUGCCGAUUGGCGGGUUGGGGUUCCAGGUGGGUGAUGUGUUGGUUUUUAUGUAAGGAAGGAAUUGGGGUCUUGGGGUCUGAUGUUUUUAGUGUUUUUUCUGUGUGGGUGAUCUGUUGUUUAUUUUUGUGCAAG